ACGGGCACGCGCGACAUUAGGUAGUUGGCGGGGUAAGGGCCCACCAAGCCGACGAUGUCUAGGGGUUCUGAGAGGAAGGUCCCCCACACUGGAACUGAGACACGGUCCAGACUCCUACGGGAGGCAGCAGUGAGGAAUAUUGGUCAAUGGGCGAGAGCCUGAACCAGCCAAGUCGCGUGAGGGAUGAAUGGUCUAUGGCCUGUAAACCUCUUUUGUCAAGGAAGAAUAAAUCGCACGGGUGCGAUCUUGCCAGUGCUUGACGAAUAAGCAUCGGCUAACUCCGUGCCAGCAGCCGCGGUAAUACGGGGGAUGCGAGCGUUAUCCGGAUUUAUUGGGUUUAAAGGGCGCGUAGGCGGGACGUCAAGUCAGCGGUAAAAGACUGCAGCUAAACUGUAGCACGCCGUUGAAACUGGCGCCCUCGAGACGAGACGAGGGAGGCGGAACAAGUGAAGUAGCGGUGAAAUGCAUAGAUAUCACUUGGAACCCCGAUAGCGAAGGCAGCUUCCCAGGCUCGAUCUGACGCUGAUGCGCGAGAGCGUGGGUAGCGAACAGGAUUAGGUACCCUGGUAGUCCACGCCGUAAACGAUGCUCACUGGAUCUUGGCGAUACACAGCCAGGGUCA
rnacentral:rRNA from 1 species